rnacentral:tRNA from 1 species
CGGGCCGUGGCGCAGCCUGGUAGCGCACCUGAAUGGGGUUCAGGGGGUCGCGAGUUCGAAUCUCGCCGGCCCGACCA